ACUCCUGGAGCCACAGGGGUCAAGGAGGAGUGGGAGAACAACCAGGAACCGGCAGAGUGUUUUAGGAAGAUCUCAACGGGAGACUGCAGGCACUGGUUUAGAGAAUUCCUAGCACACUGGGAGAACAUGCUGGAUGGAACCAGAGCCCACGGAACCACCAUUAAAUGCCCCAGAUAAUGACCAGUCUGUAUCUAUCCAAUUAAUUGAAUGGAUCAUCCCUUGAUUUUCACCUGCUUCGUCCUAAUUGACUUCAUCGUCAUGAAACUUAUGAAGAAGUCAGGGACCACAGCAGCCGUUCCAUCAUCUGAUGUUUCUUCCCUGGACCA
rnacentral:lncRNA from 1 species